UACGUAGGGCGCGAGCGUUGUCCGGAAUUAUUGGGCGUAAAGAGCUCGUAGGCGGCUUGUCACGUCGGGUGUGAAAGACCGGGGCUUAACUCCGGUUCUGCAUUCGAUACGGGCUAGCUAGAGUGUGGUAGGGGAGAUCGGAAUUCCUGGUGUAGCGGUGAAAUGCGCAGAUAUCAGGAGGAACACCAGUGGCGAAGGCGGAUCUCUGGGCCAUUACUGACGCUGAGGAGCGAAAGCGUGGGGAGCGAACAGG
rnacentral:rRNA from 1 species